GAGACGGGGUUUCGCCAUGUUGGCAGGUUGGUCUUGAACUUCUGACCUCCACCAACCUCGGCCUCCCAAAAUGCUGGGAUUACAGGUGUGAGCCACCGCACCUGACCCUGUUUGCUUUUCUAUCUGUGGCUUUUCUCUUUUCAAAUCUCUGAUUACAGUUAGACUCACCAGCUACAUAUGUCAAAGUAGUGUCUCUCAAUGGACACAGUGUACAAUAACCCUGCGAAAAAUUACUAACAUGCAGAUUCCCAGGCACCAAGCCCCAGUCAAGAUCUCCAUCCAGUAGGUGAGGUGUGGGGUACAGGAAUCUGCAUUUUUAACAAGAAUCCUGGUAAAUCUGAUGCAAGAAGUUGGCUCCUGGACUUUACUUGCACUACUGUUUCAAUAAAAUACUGGCAAACAAAAAAAUUAGUGAGAUAAACAACUGGGAUUCUCGAGCACUGGACAGAGAUCUGAGGAAAGGCCAGAGGACGAUUCCUAGCUGCUUCAGGCUUUUGCAAAAUGUAAGAAUUCUCAAGGAAGAAAUAUGAAUUUUGCUAAUACCUGAGAGAUGCCUAAAUGAGCUCUUACUCUGCUCCAAGUUAUAGUCAGAGAUUCACAUUCUUGAUCAGAAUGGUGUAAUUUAAGUAGAUGAUCAUUUUAGAUUUGCUGGCUUUGCAACAUGAAUUUUGUUUCUCUCAAAACUGAAUAUUUUUAUUUCAUUUACCUCCUGGGCAACAUUCCUAAUUAAAAAAAAAGUCAACCUUGUCUAAAAUCGCUUUUUCUUAGAAAAGUAUAAUUAAAUCAUUAUGGACAUAAGGUAUUUCAUGGUUUAUUAAUUAAAAAAUAUGCAAAGUCAACUUCUAAUAGUAGAAUCGACAAGGUCUCAGGUCAGUAACAUUUCCCCAUUAAUAUGACUGGUAACUGUCUGAAUAUUAAUGUGUUCACAAGUAACUGUCCAAUUUGGCCUCAUUUAUAUAUUUGUUUUUAUUGAACGUAAUUCUUAUGCAUGGGUGAGUCCCAGGGACGGGGAGAUUAGGGGAAGAUACAGGUCAGGACCACGGCCUGAGAAACCGUGAGAGGCAAAUUGCUCAUCCUGGACAACCAUUUUCCAUUUCUGUGCCUGACCCUGACUCUGAACCUUAGUACCCAGUCUCCUGAUUCCUAUCACUGAGGUGGCUGCUGCUAGGUUCAUCCUCCUAGAACCCAUCUGGCCCAUAGCUUAUCGCUUGGGGCUGGACUCAUUUGGGAACUGUGGGAGUGAACAUGGAAAUUCAUGCUGAAAUGCAUAUUGUACAGACCCUGUUGCUGUCUGAUUUUAGGGAGCAGUGGUGAGGAAGCUAGGGUUGUUGUGGGGUGGGGGAGUACAAGUCUAGGGCUUGGUACCUGCUGGGAUUCAUAGUAAAUAAAUUCUGGGAAACAGCAUAGAAAGGGGAAAGGCAGGUGACCUGAGCUCCUGUGGGACUCCAAUUGAGGGGUGGCUGCAGACGCCCCAUUGGUCACUCUGCCCUAAAUCCCAGAGGACACCUAUCUGAGACACCUUCUGGCACUGUAAGCUCACAGCAUACCCAGCUAAUCCCAGGUAUGUCUGCACACCUCUGAAUGCUUUUCAAGGUGCUUUCUCAGACAGAAGAGAAGACCUGGGUGGUGGAGUGUCUGGAAGUCAGGGUUUUAGGUCCAGUUCUCCUGCUGCUCUCUAUGUCAGACUGAGAAAGUAUCUCCUGGGCCUCAGUUUCCUCAUCUACAAAGUUCAGGGUAGAUUAUGUAAUCCCUAGGGUUCUGACCGUCAUGAGAAGUCCCUGGCAAUCUCAUUCAAUGGUCACCAUAACCAAGAGAGAGAGAAGAGCAAUAUCACUAACCCGAGGUUACAGUUCAGGAAAGGGGAAGGAGACGGUGGAUUCCUGUCAAAGAGGCCAAGAUAGUCCACCAACCAUGUGGACGAGCAGAAGCCCCUGUGCAUCACACAACUGCAGCAACAUCUGGGAAGGGCUUCGUCCUGACCCCGUCUUAGGAGACUGGGGUAUCUGGUAGUUUUCUUCUUGAUCAGUAUGAAAUUACAGGUGGCUUUUAGCACAAAUAUGUCAGUCAGGUAGGUCUGAAGAACCUCAAACUUUAGGGUGCAUAAGAAUCACUGGGAGACCUUGUGAAAAGUUUUCUGGGUCUAUCCUUAGGUUCUGAUUUAGGAGGUCUGGAGAGCCCUAGAAAUGAGCACUUUAAGCCAGGAGCGGUGGCACAUGCCUGUAAUCUCAGCACUUCCAAGGCUGACACAGGAGGAUUGCUUGAAGCCAACCUGGGAAACAGAGAGACCUCAUCUCUACAAAAUACUGAAAAAUCAGCCAGGUGUGGUGGCACAUGCCUGUAGACCUGGCUACUUCAGUGGCUGAGGUGGGAGGAUCGCUUGAGCUCAGGAGCUUAAGGUUAUAGUGAGCUGUGAUCACACCACUGCAGUCUAGCCUGGGCAGCAUGUCUCAAAAUCUAUCUAUCUAUCUGUCUGUCUGUCUGUCUAUCUGUCUGUCUGUCUAUCUCUCUGUCUGUCUGUCUAUCUAUCUAUCUAUCUAUCUAUCUAUCUAUCUAUCUAUCAGCAGUUUAAAACAGUUUCUCCUGGGUGGCUCUGACACAGGAUACCCCAGGGUUGGGGCUUCUCUCGGGGCAGUGAGUGGGGAAAGAGGAUGUGACCAUCAGAGACAGUGAGAAGUGGCAGCCGGACGGCCAACAGGCGAGGGCAGGCACAGAGCCCUGCAGAGAUGCGUUAGGGUGUAGCCUUGGGUGGCAACUUUGCUCACACCGUCCCCUUCCUAUUUCUUGCCCAGGGCCUGCCCCUGCUUCCAGAAUCUAAAGAAGGAUUUCGGAGAAGUGGAAAGAAGAGCUUGGCUCACUCUGCCAGAGUGGGGAUCAGGCCUGACUAGCAUCUUACUAACACCAAGUUCCGAAGCAGCCCCAUCCAGGCUGAUUCGGCUCAUGGGAGAGUAAUUGCCCUUCCUGGGAAGACUGCUGACUUCUCCAUGUUCAGCAGUUGAAGAGAUGAUAGGAACAGCCAACUCUUAGGGAGGGCUUGCUAUGAUCCAGGCACUCUUCCAAGUGCUUCACACACGUUAACCCAUUUAAUUCUCACAACAACCCUAGGAGGAAGGUACUAAUGUUACCUUUUGGAAAACAGAGGCACAGAGAAGUUAAGUAACCUCCCCAAGGUCACACAGCUAGUAUGUGAUAGAGACAGCUAUGAACCCAGCAGCAUGGGUCUCAAGCCCUUCUCUGCUGCCUCUCUAGAAGACGGAUGAUUUUCCAAGAGGAAAAAUAUUCCCCAAUCUCUGGAGGCAUUUCCUUUUGUCAUCAUUUCAGAGUGAGCGGGCUGGGUAAGCAUCAAGUGGUAACAGGAUCCCCCAUUCCCUGGAUGUGUCUGUUUCUCUGGCUUUCCAGGGCCUGCACCCUUUUCUUCUGAGCUUUACAAUAAAUGGUGUGCUAGGGAUCCUGGGGCAGCGGCUUCGCCAGCCAGAUGUUAGUUGACCCCUGCGUUCACGGUGUCCUUUCACGGCUCUGCACUGGCAUUGGGUGUCUGUGGCUGCAGGGCUAAUGUGCUUCCUGGCUGGAGCCUUGGAGAAAGGGAGUUUCCCUUCCCAAGGACCCAGUGAUCCUUUUGCAGCUCAAAGCUCCAGCUGGGGCUGGGCAUGGUGGUUCAUGCCUGUAAUCCAAGCACUUUGGGAGGCCAAGGCGGGCAGAUGGCUUGAGGUCAGGAGUUUGAGACCAGCCUGGCCAACAUGGUAAAACCCCAUCUCUACUUAAAAACAACAACAAAAAAAUUAGCUGGGCAUGGUGGUGUGUGCCUAUAGCCCCAGCUAAUUGGGAAGCUGAGACAUGAGAAUCGCUUGAACCCAGGAGGCGGAGGUUGUAGUGAGAUCAGAUCCUGCCACUGCGACAGAGGAAGAAGCAGUCACAAAAAAAAAAAAAAAAAAAAAAAAGCUCCAGCCUCUCUGUCUUUGCAUGGUCAAUGCCACUGCAUCCAGCUGCCACUGGUGUGUACUUUGUGAUCCUGGCCUUGCCUGGCUGGUCUGAGACUUCCACCACUGCUCCCUAUUCACAAACGUUGCUAAUCAAGCCCUCAGAAUCCCUCUUAACACAGCCCUCCAAGCAACCACUAUUGACUGGCACGGACUUGGGAAGGGGAUGACAGGGACAGAGGUUUGGGCCGGAGUCAACGACCUGGCACUGCUCUGACUCUGAAACAGAAUCUCCCAGGUAUCUCUCUGAUACCCGACUACGUCAUGUUAUCUACGUCUCAUACCUGACUACGUCAUAGGAGCUAAAUCUUGUUCCCAUAACCUUUAGCAGGAAGCAUUUUCUCAGACCAGUUGGAAAGGUUGGUUUAGGUUUUAUGUUUUUCCUAAGGACCUUUCUUGAUUUUUCUUUUUUCUGAGAUGGAGUUUUGCUCUUGUUGCCCAGGCUGGAGUGCAGUGGCACAAUCUCGGCUCACUGCAACCUCUGCCUCCCGGGUUCAAGCGAUUAUCCAGCCUCAGCCUCCCAAGUAGCUGGGAUUACAGGCGCCUGCUACCACACCCGGCUAAUUUUUGUAUUUUUAGUAGAGAGGGGUUUCACCAUGUUGGUCAGGCUGGUCUCAAACUCCUGACCUCAGGUGAUCCACCUGCCUCGGCUUCCCAAAGUGCUAGGAUUACAGGUGCGAGCCACUGCACCUGGCCCCCUGAGGACCUUUCUGAGUUACUUGGUGCUCUGCAACCUGGUCGGGACAUCUUGGGUGGAGAGGUUCCAGGAAUCUGCCUGUAUCAGGAAAGAAACUAAAAAUGCAAAGCAAAGUGGAAGGGAAGGCACUCCUGUACCCUGGAUUAGGCAGUGAAACACACAUGGGCUCUGGAAUCCGGAGACCCUGUUCUGAUUCUUCUCUUCCUGAUUCUUCUGCUGGCAGCCAAGAACAGUAAAUGGGCUUCAUCUGACAAGUCAACCCCAGUCCAUAGUGGUGACCGAGAGUGCUAUGUGAAGAAGGAUCCUGAGGGCCGAUAAGAAGUCAAUGGGAAACAGUACUCUGACUGAUAAGUAAUGCCUGCCAUGGGUCUGGAAGCAGAGGGCGAGGUAUGAGUAAGUGCCACCCCUGCAUUGGCUCCUCACGGGCCUCUGUCUGCUCCUCUGUAAAAUGAGCCUGUAACAUACUCAGCACAUAGGGCGCGGUGAGGUGUUCAUGAGAUACACAUACAAAUGCUCAGUGGAUGCUGGUCUCCUUUGUCUUCUCCCUCUUUCCUUCCCCCAAAUCCUGGCAGCUUUCAAAGCCACACUCAAGCUGCUUCCUGUUCAUGAUAGCCUUCCCUGAAAAUGCUAACCCAGGGUAUCUGCUCCUUCCUGCCUCCCCUCCCACCUGCCAGUUCGCCUGGCCUGGCCUGGAUUGGUAGGGAAGAGCCCAAACUUUGGAGUCAGGGUGGCCUGAGUUCAAGACCUGGCUCUGUCACUUACAUCGGCUGUGGGACAUUGGGCUAGCUGCAUCGUUGCAUCAUCUCUCUGAGCCUCAGUUUCCUUCUUUGUAGCUGAGGGUAAUGAUAGUAUACUUCUAACAGUGCUGGAUAAUUAGAUGAGAUUGUGCAUGGAUAGCUCCUAGUAUGGUGGCUAGUAUACAGUAAAUACUUAACAAAUAUCCACAAUUAGGCUUAUUGUUAUCAGCAUUUGAAGGCUUAAGAAUUGCUCAGACUUUCAUUCUGGUUGCAAAGGAUGAGAGAUAGCAAAAUUCGGUCCCAUUCCCAAAAUAUAAUCAGUCUUGAUCAUUCGGUAAUUAAAAAAAAGUUGGUCAAUUCCCAGCUAUGAGUGAGAACAUGCGGUGUUUGGUUUUCUGUCCUUGCGAUAAUUUGCUCAGAAUGAUGGUUUCCAGCUUCAUCCAUGUCCCUACAAAGGAUAUGAACUCAUCCUUUUUUAUGGCUGCAUUGAACAAUAAGAACACUUGGACACAGGAUGGGGAACAUCACACACUGGGGCCUGUGGUGGGGUGGGGGCCUGGGGGAGGGAUAGCAUUAGGAGAAUACCUAAUGUAAAUGAUGAGUUAAUGGGUGCAGCACGCCAACAUGGCACAUGUAUACAUAUGUAACAAACCUGCACGUUGUGCACAUGUACCCUAGAACUUAAAGUACAAUAAUAAUAAUAAUAAUAAUAAUAAUAAUAAUAAUAAUAAUAAAAAUGUUGGGAAGGUGAGUGGGAAGGGGGAGUUGUCCAAUCUCAGAAAUGGGACUUGCCCUGGACGCCCAGAUGAAGAGCAGACAGAGGGGUUCUUUACAGCCAUGUGGUUUUAUGAGCCAGCAUUAAUCACUGCCUGACGAUGGCUUCCCCUGAUUAGUCUGGGGUCAAUGUGUUUGGGGUUUUCACCAGCCGGUCCCUGAAGCCCGCAGCCAGCUCUUUCAUGAGCUGCUUGCUUUAGUUUCCACUGACAUCCUGGAGACGUGCUUGAUAGCUUACCCAGACCUGGGGCUGGAGGGAGACCUGAGCUCUGAACUACCGGGCAUGUCCUGGCUCUGCUGUUGUUCUGUGGCCACACUCUGUGGCCCGGGACAAGCCCCUGUCUAGUACUAAAAACUUUUGAAAGCCAAUUAACCAUUCUGUGUUUCCUUACAUGUAAAACAACUCGGCCUUACAGGGUGAUCGAGUCCAUGGAUGCUGAAGUGUUCUUUUAAAAUGUGCUCUUCUUUAUCAAAAAGUACAGAUUAAGAAAAAAAUCUUAGUCUCUUUUCAUUUUAUCUGGAAGGGAUUUUCCCCCCUAAGGCAACAGCUUAGAACUGUGCCUCUGAAACUCUCUAUGGCGAAGGAUCAAGGUUUGUUUGUUUUUUACUUAUUGCAGAGUGAUUUGUGGUCUCUCUCAUGUGAUUAGAAUGUAGCGCAUACCCCAUGAGAUUUCAGUGUGAGUCUUACCACAGUGGAAUUCUGUUCUGAUAUGAGUUCUCAUCCCAUCACACAGUUGCAUGUCAAAUUGCUGUAACAUUUUCCCAACAUAUAUUCUCAAUUUCUCAACUUUUUUCAUUGGGUCCAGGUCACAAAGACUGUGCGGAAGAGCUCCAGUCCACAGCCCACACUUAGAGCAUCUCUGGCCUAAAAGGUGACAUUGCACUAACACUCGUCACACCUGUCCUGCACCCUGCACCGUCCUGGGUGCAGGGAUGUUACGGUUUACAGGACAGGCAGGGUGUCUGCCCUCAUAUCUAGGCACAGAAAAAAGAUAAUCUGUUUGCAAUAAAAGUUGUUAAAGAAACGAAAAGAAAUAAAAAAUGUGAUAGGAUGGCAGGUGACAUCUAUUGUAAACUGAAUAUCUGGAGAAGGACUAUUUGGGAAGAGCAAGGAAAGAACCUUUCAGAAAAGGAGCAGGACGUGCGAAGGCCCCAAGGAGGGCAGGAGCUUGGUGUGUUCUAGCACUGGAAGGAGGAAGUCAGAGUGUCUUAAGGUGUUGAGAUGUUGGGAGUGAGAGCACAGUGAUGGGAGCCAUGGAGGAGCCUGAAGGAUAGGGCCAUGAAGGGCUCCAAAGGCACUCCUUUUCUUCCAGCAGAUAUUCAAUUAAAUGCCAUGCUUGCAUUUUUAAAAUUGUUGAACCUUCUACAAAUUGUAUUAACAUAUAGAAAUCAUCCAGCCUCUUGUUACUCCACAUGUAAGGUUCUGGGGACCAGUAGCAUCAACAUCACCUGGGAGUAUGUCAGGCGUGCGGUAUCUCAGGAUGGCCCUGAACUUGCUGGAUGCAUUCUGAUGAGCUCCCCAGGUGAUAUCUACCCAUGUUGAGAUUGUAGGAGCCCUGAUCUGGUGCAUUGGAUCUUGAAGGUGGCUGCACGGGGAGUCAUUUAAAUGGUCACAUCUGAUGAUUUGGAUUUUGUAGUCUGGAGCUUCUGACUCAAUGGUCUGGGAUGAGACCUGGGUAUGGAGACCUUCUGCAGGUCCCGGGGAUUCCAGCGAGCAGCUAGGGUGUAACCUUGUGUGAGUCACUUGCUCUCUCUGGACCUGUGUCCUUUCUGCCCUCCUCAGGGUUUCUCUGAUCAUUUACUUGAGAUUUCUCUGGUUGCUUUUGUUCAAGGUUAUAUAAAACCAGUUUGGCUCUCCCUCCUAAGACCAAUAGGUUUCAGCAUUUAGGCAGAAGAGAGAAAUGUUUCUCUGCUCUCCUACAGGUUUGCAAAGGGCAUAUCCCAGGCUACUUCAAGGGAAAAUGAAUAUCUUGCAGAUGGAGAUAAGCACUCAGAAUUUUGAGUGAUAAACUAUCUCCUGUUCAGAAGUGAGGAGCCCAAAUGGAACAAUAAAUGCCCCUGUACUAGAGCUGCAAGGCCUCUUGGGGUCCAUAUGAACACCUCUACCCAUUUCAUGGAUAAGGAAAACCGAGGCCCAGAUAGUCUUCAUUUCUCAACAUCACAUGAUAUAAGGGCAGGGCUAAAACCACAGCCACUCCUGUCAUUUUUGUGACCUUGAGCUCUUGCCACCCCAUGUUUGAAAUUCAGAAACACUUGACAUGGCUAGUAUUUAUGAGGAUAGGAAAACAACUGCUUGGUUGGGGAAGCUCUC
rnacentral:lncRNA from 1 species